rnacentral:rRNA from 1 species
CGGGUGAGUAACACGUAUCCAACCUGCCGUCUACUCUUGGACAGCCUUCUGAAAGGAAGAUUAAUACAAGAUGGCAUCAUGAGUCCGCAUGUUCACAUGAUUAAAGGUAUUCCGGUAGACGAUGGGGAUGCGUUCCAUUAGAUAGUAGGCGGGGUAACGGCCCACCUAGUCUUCGAUGGAUAGGGGUUCUGAGAGGAAGGUCCCCCACAUUGGAACUGAGACACGGCCCAG